UGAACCAGCANCUUGGAGGAAUGUAUAGGGAAAANUGGUAAAAUGUGAUGUNCCUAGUANUAUUAGUGAUUANUAUAAGAUUAACUAAGUUAAUUAAAAUUCUAAAUAGGUUUUGAUUAUGACAUUAUUUAUCUAUGUCUUGACCAAGUCACGUGCCAGCAGUCGCGGUAAUACGUGGAAGACUAGUGUUAUUCAUCUUUAGNAGGUAUAUAGGGUACCUAGACAGUCAAUCAAGCUUAAUUGUACUNNUUGACUAGGGUUUAAUANAAAAAGGAUGGAGUACGGUGAGUGUAGAUAUAAAAUUCUGUGA
rnacentral:rRNA from 1 species